AUUGAUGCUAUGAUGACACACUUGCCCUCACUUAGAGUAUUGCCUCUCUGCUGAGAACCUUUUAGUACUCGUCUGAGCCAAG
ensembl:snoRNA small nucleolar RNA SNORD103/SNORD85